rnacentral:ncRNA from 1 species
GCGGUAGUUUAGGGGUGCCUUACAACAACGGGCUGAGAUCAUACCCAUUGAACCUGAUCCGGGUAAUGCCGGCGAAGGGAAAACGGAGGAAACUAUA